GGCUGCAGCCAUAUCACCCUGCAGCCCAAGACUGGUUGCCCACUGAAGCUAAGCAGGUUUGAGCCUGGUCAGUACCUGGAUGGGAGACGACCUGGGAAAACUAGGUUGCUGCUGGAA
rnacentral:rRNA from 1 species